rnacentral:rRNA from 1 species
AUUGAACGCUGGCGGAAUGCUUUACACAUGCAAGUCGAGCGGCAGCGCGGGGGCAACCCUGGCGGCGAGCGGCGAACGGGUGAGUAACAUAUCGGAACGUACCCCGUCGUGGGGGAUAACACAGCGAAAGCUGUGCUAAUACCGCAUACGACCUGAGGGUGAAAGCGGGGGAUCGCAAGACCUCGCGCGAUGGGAGCGGCCGAUAUCGGAUUAGCUUGUUGGUGAGGUAAAGGCUCACCAAGGCGACGAUCCGUAGCGGGUCUGAGAGGAUGAUCCGCCACACUGGGACUGAGACACGGCCCAGACUCCUACGGGAGGCAGCAGUGGGGAAUUUUGGACAAUGGGCGCAAGCCUGAUCCAGCAAUGCCGCGUGCAGGAAGAAGGGCCCUUCGGGUUGU